ensembl:snoRNA SNORD12C small nucleolar RNA, C/D box 12C
GCUGGUGUAAAUGAUGACUUUUCACUUUUUUCCCCAUCAGAUCGACAAUGCUGACGUCUUAUAUUUUGCCAGUUAGUUCUGAUACAUCGGC